CGGGGGGGCGCUACCAUGCAAGUCGAGCGGUAGCACAGAGAGCUUGCUCUCGGGUGACGAGCGGCGGACGGGUGAGUAAUGUCUGGGAAACUGCCUGAUGGAGGGGGAUAACUACUGGAAACGGUAGCUAAUACCGCAUAACGUCGCAAGACCAAAGUGGGGGACCUUCGGGCCUCAUGCCAUCAGAUGUGCCCAGAUGGGAUUAGCUGGUAGGUGGGGUAACGGCUCACCUAGGCGACGAUCCCUAGCUGGUCUGAGAGGAUGACCAGCCACACUGGAACUGAGACACGGUCCAGACUCCUACGGGAGGCAGCAGUGGGGAAUAUUGCACAAUGGGCGCAAGCCUGAUGCAGCCAUGCCGCGUGUGUGAAGAAGGCCUUCGGGUUGUAAAGCACUUUCAGCGGGGAGGAAGGCGGUGAGGUUAAUAACCUCAUCGAUUGACGUUACCCGCAGAAGAAGCACCGGCUAACUCCGUGCCAGCAGCCGCGGUAAUACGGAGGGUGCAAGCGUUAAUCGGAAUUACUGGGCGUAAAGCGCACGCAGGCGGUCUGUCAAGUCGGAUGUGAAAUCCCCGGGCUCAACCUGGGAACUGCAUUCGAA
rnacentral:rRNA from 1 species